rnacentral:rRNA from 1 species
UGGGGAAUAUUGGACAAUGGGCGAAAGCCUGAUCCAGCCAUGCCGCGUGUGUGAAGAAGGUCUUCGGAUUGUAAAGCACUUUAAGUUGGGAGGAAGGGCGCUCGGUGAAUACCCAGGCGUCUUGACGUUACCGACAGAAUAAGCACCGGCUAACUUCGUGCCAGCAGCCGCGGUAAUACGAAGGGUGCAAGCGUUAAUCGGAAUUACUGGGCGUAAAGCGCGCGUAGGUGGUUCGGCAAGUUGGAUGUGAAAGCCCCGGGCUCAACCUGGGAACCGCAUCCAAAACUACUGGGCUAGAGUACGGUAGAGGGUGGUGGAAUUUCCUGUGUAGCGGUGAAAUGCGUAGAUAUAGGAAGGAACACCAGUGGCGAAGGCGACCACCUGGACCGAUACUGACACUGAGGUGCGAAAGCGUGGGGAGCAAACAGGAUUAGAUACCCU